AGUCAUUUUCUUCAAUUUAUAGUUCAUGACAUCAGAGAUGCUAAAAUAUCCCAUGGCAUUCAAAGGCGUCACCUAGCACGGUACCCCACGUGGGGGGGCUAUUUCUCAGUAGCCAAUCACAGCCUGCGCAGCUGCAUCUGCGGGAAGAACCAGGAGCGUGUGCAGAGACGAGCCGCGAAAGCGUUUUGAAAGGAAAAGAGAAGGAGAUAUUCAGUAAGGAACCGAAAGAGUCUCAUAAUAUCUCUCAAACUGCAUGAGCUGGGAGGAAAACAACCCGACAGCAGAAGCCAAGCUACGUCGGCUAUAUUCUUACCGUUCAUCUCGUGAGCUGCGGCAUUGCUGGAGGCAACGUGAACCCGGUUUUAAACCCAGAACAACGGUGAGAAAUGAAGCGGGACGCUUUAGAGGUUCUGGUAUUUUUCUGUGUAUGGUAAAUAUGCUAGAAAAAGUUAUAUAGUCUUCUGAGUCUGUGAAAAUAGACUGAAAUGGAAAAUAGUGCAGUGUUUUGAGCAUAUAAGUGCAAGGAAUACUAUGCUAUUUAAAGCUGCUGAUGAAUAUGUUUAAAAAAAAAAAAGAGGAGUUUCUUUAUUUUUUUUCUGAUGAAUGUGUUUUAAGAAAAGAGGAGUUUAUUUUUUUUCUGAUGAAUGUGUUUAAAAGGACAGUUUACUUAGGUUGUUUUAUAUAUGUUUAUAGGGAGAAAAUGAUUGGAUAUAUUGUAUAUGUAACAUUUUGUUCUAUUUUGUAAGCAUACAUCCUUAAAGGGAAUCCAGAUGAUAAUUUUUAGUGCAGGUCUCCUUUUGCAUUAGAAGGCCUAUAGUGCAGGAGGGGUAACUAAGCACAUGUUUUUUAUAUCUCUGGAUAAGCUUAUUAAAUAUGUUGCACUUUUGUUACAAUUGCACUUUAUUAUUCCAUUUAUUCCAUUUAUGAUAGUCAUCCUAUCAGCUCAUUGUUAUUAAUCACUUACCGUGAUAAAGUUCUGAUUGUUUAUAAAAAACAGUAAAAGUGUGAAUCUGUUUGAAUGUUGUACAACUAGAAGAAAAGAGAGAUUUGAUUUGAGUUAAGAUUUAUAAAUAACAUUUAAUGCAUUAUUUGCAUUUUUACAAAGGGAUUUUGAGAUAAGACAUCUGAGGACGAAUUGUAAUGGAUAUAUUUGACCUUGUCAACAGGUCAGGUUUUUUUAGUUGGUGGACAGUGAGUUCCCAGGACCCAAACGAGAUCCCAGAUGGCGAGCCGAAGAACCUAGGAGGAAAACGCGUACCAUACACACACAUACACAUUUUUUUCCAUUAUUGAGAACUCUUAGAUACAGGUGCACCUGCAAUAACUCAGGGCCCCAACGGACAAUUUUUUUUGUGCGCACCAUUUUUGUUUUGGGGGUUUAUUCAAAUGUAUUUUGUAUUGACUCAUCAUUUAACUUGUUCUGUGUAAAAAAAAAAAAAAUACACGAGUGGCUGUUCAAACUUUGA